rnacentral:snRNA from 1 species
GUCCUUUCAGCAGCACAAAUACUGAAACUGGAAUGAUACAUCGAAGAUUAGCAUGGCUCCUGUGCAAGAAAGACACACAAAUUCACAAAGCAUUCCAUAUUACA